ACUCAACACCGCAAGAUUUCAAAAGGGAAAUUCCUCCAGGGCUGAGUCACAGGGAAGAAAGCGAUUUCCUCCGCCUCUUCCAAAGCGGAUUUUAUAACCUGACAGCGUGCUGGAACUUCUCUGCUGGACUCCUGGACUCCCACAAUGGUUGUGGGGCUAGACAAGAAGGAAAAAAAUCACUGUCCUCAUGGAAGUUAAAUUGUACUGACAAAGGAGGAAAAUGUCAGGGAGUUAACAAUUCAGUCUCUGUGGCUUCCUCCUGUCCUCUCCCUGAAACUGAGAUCCAGCCAAUCUGCACAUUUAUUCUGAGAGUGGCCCCACUUUAAUGACUACACCCAGCUGUCUACACACCAGGAGGGGAGGGAACUGUAUCCUGAGGCACCAACCCGAUUACCCACCCAACAGCCACAGGGACUUCCAGUGACUGGGGCAUCAUCCUCAAUGCCACCAACCCCUCUCCUUCCUGUGGCUUUUCUAACUGGAACUGGAACUCAGAAAGUACAUUAAUCACCAAUUUGGGAAGCUAUAGGAAAGUAUGUUUUCUAAUAUACAGUGAGAGAAUGUGACUGAUAAAACCAAUUUUCUUGAGACUUUCUCCCUGGAAAGUGAAUAUAUGUAUUCAUAGGGCCUUCACAAGCACAGACUAACAAGCAAAGAGCUACAUUCACUGGGAAGGAAGACUCAAAAUUUAAAAAUAGAAAAAAAAAUGAUGGCCCAGAAGAGCAAGUUCAGAGUGCUGUUCAUGAGUGAUCCGCAUGGGACCGCGAUGCCUCUGACGUCUGCCAUCCUGGAGAGCAGCAGAGCGUCACUAGCAGAGUCAAUUUUGUGUACUGAAAACAAAUGCAGUUCAAAAAUGUGGGUGAGGUUGCUGUCUGUCACCUACCAGCUAUGUGAUUCGGUGGCAAAUCUAUUACUCUUGAUCCAAUCCUGCUAGGAAGAACCUCACCCUACUUAGCUGCUGCUGGGUAUCAAAUAGAUGCUGCUCAAAAGGUGGCUAAAGAGCCUAAGUGGAGAUCUGCUUGUAUUCUUCAUUGAUGAAGUCUAAAUAUGAAGCUAGAACUGAAGACAUUCCAUCAGAUUGACUGUUACAGGGUAGGGAGCUGCAGCACAAGCACAGAGAAGCCAGCAGCUUCAUCACAUCACACCAGCUCUGCAGCGCCAAGGCAGACACACCAGCUCUGCGGCACCGAGGCAGACACACCAGCUCUGCGGUGCCGAGGCAGAGCCUGCGCCCUCUGAUGCUCUGUGUCGUGUUUUUUCCCACUUCGCCAUGCUGCAUUUUCCUUAGGGCUCUGACAUCUCCUUCUGACACUGAUUUUUUUUUUUUGACACUGAAUUUUUAAAUAAUUAUUUUUCAAGGUGCAACAUUUUGACGUCAAAAUUCAGCUAGUGAGAUUUCCAAAGUCCCUUUCUUCUAAUUUCUUAUUUCCAAGUAUUUUUUUUAAUUGCAGCUUAAUUUAUGAUAAGAAGCAGCUGCAUUUCUUGACCCCAAAGUACUAGAGUGAAUUAAUAAUUUAACGUGGUGCAACCACUGAUUCAAGUGCUUUUAAUGUCUCAUUUAAUCCUAAAGCCUGUGCUGGCCUCUGAGAUGUAGUUACUGCUGUUAUUCUCAUUAAAAAGAUGAAAGAACUAAGGUAUGAGGUGCUCAAGUAACUUUCCAAAGGUGACUCAGCUAGGAGUGGAGGAGCUCCUGGGAGUGGAGGAGCUCCUCAAAAGUGAGGAGUUCCUUUUUGGAUACAGGUGGCUUGGCCCCAGACUUACACUCUUAGAUGUUGUUCUCGACCUUUGGACCCAGACUAGCUCACUGGGACAUUAGACUAUACAGUAAAGGGAGAAGGGAAUCCUACCUGACUGCUUCAUUGUCAGCAGGAUGAAUAGGAAGGAGGCGACUGCACCAGACAGAUUGUAGCCUGGAAAAUCCACCAUCCUCCCUGGAACAAAGACAAGGAAACGCUGUGCCUAAGUGAGGCUGUGACACACCCGGCACACUCCAUGGCUUCCAUUGGUUAUGCAGUCUUAGCAGAGAAUCCACAUCAACCCCUGCACAGUCAGUGAAAUGGGCUUGGCUCCAUUUCUCUGCAAUUACUGAUCACAUCCAACCCUUUACCUAACGUGUUAUAUUGUGAGACAAUGUAGCAAAUGUAAGAAGCCUUGCUUGCUCAUUUCGGCUUGCUAGCAUACUUUCACAAAGCCCCUGCUGUGAUGACCUGCAGUUCUCCAGAAAGAUGCUUCAAAGACAAAACAAGAUUGAGCACACGGCCUCCCAUCUCUCUUGCCUGAGUCACUCUACUCCUUAAAAGAUAAGCAAUAAUAGUCCUUGCCUUUUCCUACACAUAAGAUAACGUCUGAUUGAAGGAUACCUCUGUAACCUAUAACCAGAUCUGCUCAUACACCCAAACGUUGAUGUAGUUCGGCUUCAAUGUAGCUUCUGAGCUAAUUUGAUGUAGUGGUUAAUAUGUAACCUCCUGACAUCGAAAAGGAUAUGGAUUUGUUUCUGAAUCAUAAAGUUUUACUGAUUGUUUUGUGCAUGAAAUAUUUUAGUCUAUAUAUUGUCAUCUGUGUCCAAUGAUUGUAACCUCUGUAUUGUACCCUCCAGUGAAAAAAGACAACUCCAAUAUGAAGAGCCCCUUUCUUUCUGCCUGAAC
rnacentral:lncRNA from 1 species